rnacentral:RNase_P_RNA from 1 species
GGUGAACAGACGAUCGCGUGCCGAAAGGUAUGAGGAAAGUCCGGGCACCGCAGGGCAAGGGUGCCGGCUAACGGCCGGCGGAGGCGACUCCAGGGAGAGUGCAACAGAAAUAAACCGCCGGUGAAAGCCGGUAAGGAUGGAAAGGCGAGGUAAGAGCUCACCCGGAAGCCGGGUAACCGGUUUCCGCUGUAAACCCCACCCGGUGCAAGAUGCAAUGGAGGCAAGUCGGCGGCCCGCCGCGUUCUCCGCAAUCGCUUGAGCCCCGCGGUAACGCGGGGCCUGGAUAGAUGAUCGUCCAAUACAGAACCCGGCUUACGGUCACGCUCGU